UACGUAGGGGGCCAGCGUUGUCCGGAUUUAUUGGGCGUAAAGAGCGUGUAGGCGGCCAGGUAGGUCUGGUGUGAAAACUCGAGGCUCAACCUCGAGAUGUCAUCGGAAACCAUCUGGCUAGAGUCCGGAAGAGAAGAGUGGAAUUCCUGGUGUAGCGGUGAAAUGCGCAGAUAUCAGGAAGAACACCUAUGGCGAAGGCAGCUCUCUGGGACGGUACUGACGCUGAGACGCGAAAGCGUGGGGAGCGAACAGG
rnacentral:rRNA from 1 species